CUGAUGGAUCAUGAAGAUCUUAUCGAGAAGAUUCUCGAUGGUCUUGAUGACGACUACAAGGCUCUUGUUGACGGUAUUGAGGGCCGCGACACACCAAUCUCUUUUGAUGAGCUUCAUGAGAAACUGAUCAAUCGAGA
rfam:Morus notabilis contig14408, whole genome shotgun sequence.